AUUGAACGCUGGCGGCAGGCCUAACACAUGCAAGUCGAGCGGAUGAAGGGAGCUUGCUCCUGGCUUCAGCGGCGGACGGGCGAGUAAUGCCUAGGAAUCUGCCUGGUCGUGGGGGAUAACGUCCGGAAACGGGCGCUAAUACCGCAUCCGUCCUGAGGGUGAAAGUGGGGGUUCUUCGGACCUCACGCUAUCAGCUGAGCCUAGGUCGGAUUAGCUAGUUGGUGGGGUAAAGGCCUACCAAGGCGACGAUCCGUAACUGGUCUGAGAGGAUGAUCAGUCACACUGGAACUGAGACACGGUCCAGACUCCUACGGGAGGCAGCAGUGGGGAAUAUUGGACAAUGGGCGAAAGCCUGAUCCAGCCAUGCCGCGUGUGUGAAGAAGGUCUUCGGAUUGUAAAGUACUUUAAGUUGGGAGGAAGGACAGUAAGUGAAUACCUUGCUGUUUUGACGGUACCAACAGAAUAAGCACCGGCUAACUUCGUG
rnacentral:rRNA from 1 species